rnacentral:rRNA from 1 species
CGGACGGGUGAGUAACACGUGGAUAACCUACCUAUAAGACUGGGAUAACUUCGGGAAACCGGAGCUAAUACCGGAUAAUAUUUUGAACCGCAUGGUUCAAAAGUAAAAGACGGUCUUGCUGUCACUUAUAGAUGGAUUCGCGCUGCAUUAGCUAGUUGGUAAGGUAACGGCUUACAAAGGCAACGAUGCAUAGCCGACCUGAGAGGGUGAUCGGCCACACUGGAACUGAGACACGGUCCAG